rnacentral:lncRNA from 1 species
CUUAUUAGGUCUUAAUUCCUUGGAAAUGUCCUUCCAUGAAAUGCUAGACACAAUUACAAGUUAGUGAGUUAGUAUUCUUGGGAAUGAAAACAUUUAUCUCUAUAGAAAAUAUCUAAACAAGUUGUAAAACGAAGCAAUAAACAAAGCAAUCUCUUUUUUUACCAACCCCCAGUUCAGGUGAGCAGGGAUUUCACAGGCUACACUGAUGUCACCCCAGGACGACUGAGCCAGGACCUCAAGUCAUUAGCUUGUUUCGAUGACUGGUCCAGUCCACAGACAUAGUCAAGUCUCCCACUGGAAAUCAUGUUUCUGAGGUUUGUUACUCUAUAUUCAGAUGUCAAACUUUCUCAUCUUCCAUUAUGCACUUGAUAUAGUAGGAAGAGCACUGAGGCAGAGAGCUGAGAGCUGCUAAAAACACUGUCCUCUAUUUUCAUAACCACACACACAUUUUUGAUGGUUGUUAUUCUUUCUCCCCAUUUUCAUAAAGUCCCUUUUGUCAAAUACAAUCAAGAGUGAUUAAACUCAUCUUGCUCUGUGACAGUUCUUAAAUUUCUUUUAUCCUGUUAGGUUAAAAAUACUUUGCCUUUAACAAUGAUAACCUUUCCCUGAAUCC